rnacentral:rRNA from 1 species
ACGGGGCAUUGCCUCAGUACGGCGAGUGAAGCGGCAAAAGCUCAAAUUUGAAAUCUGGCACCUUCGGUGUCCGAGUUGUAAUUUGAAGAAGGUAACUUUGGAGUUGGCUCUUGUCUAUGUUCCUUGGAACAGGACGUCACAGAGGGUGAGAAUCCCGUGCGAUGAGAUGCCCAAUUCUAUGUAAAGUGCUUUCGAAGAGUCGAGUUGUUUGGGAAUGCAGCUCUAAGUGGGUGGUAAAUUCCAUCUAAAGCUAAAUAUUGGCGAGAGACCGAUAGCGAACAAGUACAGUGAUGGAAAGAUGAAAAGAACUUUGAAAAGAGAGUGAAAAAGUACGUGAAAUUGUUGAAAGGGAAGGGCUUGAGAUCAGACUUGGUAUUUUGCAAGCCUUACCUUCGUGGUGGGGUCCCCUGCAGUUUACUGGGCCAGCAUCGGUUUGGAUGGUAGGAUAAUGACUUGGGAAUGUGACUUUGCUUCGGUAAAGUGUUAUAGCCCUUGUUGAUACUGCCUGUCUAGACCGAGGACUGCGUCUUUGACUAGGAUGCUGGCAUAAUGAUCUUAAGUCGCCCGUCUUAAAMMAMGGAACACAAA